CUAUGAACUGACAAAAUAGAGGUGAGUUGGUACCGGUGGGCCAAUUCUCAACGUGGACAUUUUAAAAUGCUGUUUUCCAUAUUACAUCAAAAUGAUUUGCAAUAAGAAAUUGAAAGGGGGUGCAAAGGAGAGUGCAAAGCAUGUACUGAGGUCUUUCUACAGGUACGUGAUAGAACGCUGAUUCAACAUGAUAAAAUGUACUUUGCAACAGCGGCCUUCAAGGUGUGCUAGAGCAAGCGUACCCCAAGGAACCUGUGAAAAUCAUUUUUUAAUUAUUCUAAACAGAAAAAGUGGUACCCACUUAAAUAAGCACAAAGUAAAACUUCAUGGUAAGAUCUGCUGUAAAGCUACUUGCUAUAGCCCACAGAUUCAGUUUGUUCAACAACCUCCCUCACUGACAGAAAAAGUCAGCAAAUAAGACUUAGGACAAAAAUAUUUUCUAUCAACCUCCACACGAAAAGACCACAGCUUUAAUGAUUUUUACAAUCCUUAAGCUUAAUCAUUGGUCAGUACAGAUUUCCAUAUCAAGAUCAAGUCAUGAACUGUUCACAAUAGCUAUUCUGUACUAAGAUGCUAAACGUUUUCUUUCCAGUAUGUCUCCCUAUGAGGGAAAUAAAAUAGUGGGAAGUUUUCCUCUUUGCCUGUGAGGGGAUUUAUGAAAAGCCUUCUAAUCUACAAGUGUUCUUCUGUGAAACUAAAAUACAUUAUGAAGUCAAACAGGUAAAUUAACAACAAAACCAAACUGAUCUCAACAAAGUCUUGUUUCCAAAGUAAAAUCUAUUAAGAACAAGUAAUAUACAAGCACAAGAAAUUACAAGAAAUGAGGAUCAUAGUUAGUUACAGAUGCAAAGUAGUAUCUAGCAUCCCAAGCUUUUGGGCAUAAUAAUGAAAAUCAAAUUAAUAAGUUAGUUCAAGUAUUAUGUAUAAUUUUGAUAAGCUGGUCAUGUGUUAUUUGAAUACACACCAUAUGUGGUAAACCUAAAAGUAUAUUACCUUUUCUCCUCCUUUAAUAUUUGUAGAUACACGCCAAGAUGGGAAAAAAAGUAUUUCCAUUUAUGUACUAAUAACAGAGAAUAACAUAAUUUCUACUGUGUAUAUUUCACACUGUUAAAAAAAAGUUGGCCAGGCACAGUGGCUCAUGCCUGUAAUCCCAGGACUUUGGGAGGCUGAGGUGGGUGGAUCACAAGGUCAGGAGUUAGAGACCAGCCUGGCCAACAUAGUGAAACACUGUCUCUUCUUAAAAUUCAAAAAUUAGCAGGACAUGGUGGUGCACACCUGUAGACCUAGCUACUCAGGAAGCUGAGGCAGAAGAAUCCCUUGAACCCAGGAGGCAGAGGUUAUGGUGAGCCGAGAUUGUGCCACUGCANNNNNNNNNNNNNNNNNNNNGUGAGAUGCAAUUCUUCUUUUUACAUUUGCCACAUGUGAGCGAAUCAGGCUGGGUUCCACCUGUCUUGGCCAUCUGAUGCUCUCUGAUGGCUUCUUUCGUCAAGUUUUUGUGCAUCUCUUUGAGCUCAUCGCUAGCCAUUUCUUCUGCGGUCAUUCUAGCAAGUAAGUCAGGAGGAAUAUUCCCACAUGAUGCAUUUUUCCUUAAAUUUGGAUUCUUUGCAUCUGUAAG
rnacentral:lncRNA from 1 species